CAAUAGCGUAUAUUAAAGUUGUUGCAGUUAGAACGCUCGUAGUCGGAUUUCGGGGCGGGGCGACCGGUCUGCCGAUGGGUAUGCACUGGUCGGCGCGUCCUUCCUUCCGGAGACCGUUCCUACUCUUAACUGAGCGGGGGCGGGAGACGGAUCGUUUACUUUGAAAAAAUCAGAGUGUUUCAAGCAGGCAGCUCGCUCUUGCAUGGAUUAGCAUGGGAUAAUGAAAUAGGACUUUGGUGCUAUUUUGUUGGUUUCGAACACCGAAGUAAUGAUUAAAAGGGACAGUCAGGGGCACUCGUAUUCCGCCGAGAGAGGUGAAAUUCUCAGACCAGCGGAAGACGAACUACUGCGAAAGCAUUUGCCAGGGAUGUUUUCACUGA
rnacentral:rRNA from 1 species